CCUACCACAAAUAUCAUCAACCUGCAUGGUAAAUACUUAUUUACAUCUUCCAUCAGGCUAAAAACCUGGAGUACAGGGUUCCUGGUUUAUUUAUCUAUGCACCCCAGGACUGACAAAUAUGGCAUAUUGGAAGUUCUCAAGUGGAGUCUCAAUCUCACUACAAUGCUUGGGUCCUAUUGUCCAUUCAACAUACCUGACACUUCUGGAGAGUAUUCAAGUUGAAGAAAAUAAGCAGAGAUUUGACAACAUCAUACAGGUAACAGAAGGGCAAAGCAUGGAUAAAUCCUGGUCAAGGCUUUCUGAAUGCAAAGCCCAUGUCUUUUUCUUGUGAUGCUCUCAUCAACCAUAUGAAGUUGUGGACAUUUUAUCUCCAUUUUGCUGAUGAAGGAAUGGAGAAGAAAAAUCAAUAAAAGAGGGAAUAGCAAGAGUGGAGACCUGAAACUGAUGAGGCUGACGUCCCAGGAGGCUUUGAGUCUCCUGCUUCCCCCAAUUAUGCCAAUGGCAUCUUUUUAAUAUGAAUGUGGGUGCUAAGUAAGUACUCAAUGAGUAUUGACGUGGUGACUCACCGACUGGCUGUACUAUCAAGGGAGAAUGAACAUUCUUUUAUUGUCCCAGGGCUUAUGGAAAAGAACAGGUAAGGAUUUUCUGGUGAACUUCUUGUUCUGGAAGAUGCCAAGAUGCUCUCUUGCGUCCCUUCUCCAGCCCCCAGAUUGGAUGAUUCAGAAUGUUUCAGGGAAAUACCAUCCCAUUUGAGCUGAUUUCUUUAAUUAGAAAUUCUGCAAACCUUCCGUGUUGCUCUUCCUCACCCCUAAAUUAUGAUUCUCUCCUGGGGAACUUCAGACUAUACAAUUCUUCCAGAAACGUUAUUGAUUUAAAAUUGAAUCUUUACAGAAUGUUUUUGGUUCACGUAUAAAAACAACUAACAGUGCAAUUUGUCUUCUGCUUUUAAUCUUCACUAAGCAUUGAAAAAGGAAGAAAAAUAUUUUCUGAAAGUAACAAGCUUUCCUGGGGGUUCCUACAGAGGGAUUUAUUUUUCUGUAUUUUUUUUUCAGAGAGAAAGUAUAGUUCCUCUUAAUAUCAGUGUCCAUUUGACUGCUAGUUCCAAAGCCGGACGGGUGGAACAUCACUGCACUUCUCUGAGAACUUCCAGAGACCCACCCAACAUUAGCCUGUGUGUCCUGCCUGCUGGGAGCCCUCAUUUCUCAGGAGUGUCUUCAGUCUGGUGAUUUGACUCAAAUCACUGUCCAUUUGAAGGACCACAGGACAGAGGCUCCCUACCAAAUCCCAGCUGCUAGUUGUAAUAAUGUAUUAUUUAGGGAACAGUGAUAAGAAAA